rnacentral:rRNA from 1 species
GACGAACGCUGGCGGCGUGCUUAACACAUGCAAGUCGAACGAAGAGCGACGGAAGCUUGCUUCUAUCAAUCUUAGUGGCGAACGGGUGAGUAACGCGUAAUCAACCUGCCCUUCAGAGGAGGACAACAGUUGGAAACGACUGCUAAUACCGCAUACGAUCUAAUCUCGGCAUCGAGGAUGGAUGAAAGGUGGCCUCUACAUGUAAGCUAUCACUGAAGGAGGGGAUUGCGUCUGAUUAGCUAGUUGGGGGGGUAACGGCCCACCAAGGCGAUGAUCAGUAGCCGGUCUGAGAGGAUGAACGGCCACAUUGGGACUGAGACACGGCCCAGACUCCUACGGGAGGCAGCAGUGGGGAAUCUUCCGCAAUGGACGAAAGUCUGACGGAGCAACGCCGCGUGAGUGAUGACGGCCUUCGGGUUGUAAAGCUCUGUUAAUCGGGACGAAAGGCCUUCUUGCGAAUAGUGAGAAGGAUUGACGGUACCGGAAUAGAAAGCCACGGCUAACUACGUG